UAAAAACCCCGACUUCGGAAGGGGUGUAUUUAUUAGAUACAAAACCAAUGCCCUUCGGGGCUCUUUGGUGAUUCAUGAUAACUAUACGAAUCGCACGGCCUUGCGCCGGCGAUGGUUCACUCAAAUUUCUUCCCUAUCAACUUUCGAUGUUUGGGUAUUGGCCAAACAUGGUUGCAACGGGUAACGGAGGGUUAGGGCUCGACCCCGGAGGAGGAGCCUGAGAAACGGCUACUACAUCCAAGGAAGGCAGCAGGCGCGCAAAUUACCCAAUCCCGACUCGGGGAGGUAGUGACAAUAAAUACUGAUACAGGGCCCUUUCGGGCCUUGUAAUUGGAAUGAGUACAAUUUAAAUCCCUUAACGAGGAACAAUUGGAGGGCAAGUCUGGUGCCAGCAGCCGCGGUAAUUCCAGCUCCAAUAGCGUAUAUUAAAGUUGUUGUGGUUAAAAAGCUCGUAGUUGAACCUUGGGCCUGGCUGGCCGGUCCGCCUCACCGCGUGCACUGGUCCGGCCGGGCCUUUCCCUCUGUGGAACCCCAUACCCUUCACUGGGCGUGGGGGGGGAAACAGGACAUUUACUU
rnacentral:rRNA from 1 species